AAAAGGUGGCUAUGCUACCGCUUUUGGAUGGGCCCGCGGCGCAUUAGCUAGUUGGUGGGGUAAAGGCUUACCAAGGCAAUGAUGCGUAGCCGAACUGAGAGGUUGAUCGGCCACAUUGGGACUGAGACACGGCCCAAACUCCUACGGGAGGCAGCAGUAGGGAAUCUUCCACAAUGGGCGAAAGCCUGAUGGAGCAACGCCGCGUGGGUGAAGAAGGUCUUCGGAUCGUAAAACCCUGUUGUUAGAGAAGAAAGUGCGUGAGAGUAACUGUUCACGUUUCGACGGUAUCUAACCAGAAAGCCACGGCUAACUACGUGCCAGCAGCCGCGGUAAUACGUAGGUGGCCAGCGUUAUCCGGAUUUAUUGGGCGUAAAGGGAACGCAGGCGGUCUUUUAAGUCUGAUGUGAAAGCCUUCGGCUUAACCGGAGUAGUGCAUUGGAAACUGGGAGACUUGAGUGCAGAAGAGGAGAGUGGAACUCCAUGUGUAGCGGUGAAAUGCGUAGAUAUAUGGAAGAACACCAGUGGCGAAAGCGGCUCUCUGGUCUGUAACUGACGCUGAGGUUCGAAAGCGUGGGUAGCAAACAGGAUUAGAUACCCUGGUAGUCCACGCCGUAAACGAUGAAUGCUAAGUGUUGGAGGGUUUCCGCCCUUCA
rnacentral:rRNA from 1 species